CGGCGGCGGCGGCGGCGGCGGCGGCGCGGGCGCGCGCUUCCUAGUGACGCAGACACCAAGGCCGCGCACGCACGGGUCGGGCGGGUUUCGGGACUUAUUUGGCGCCCAGUGCGGAAGCGGAUGGCGUGGUGAGAUAGGACCCGAAGGGCCCUGGCGCGCCUGCGUGUGUGGCCUUGCCUCUGUGCCCGGUGGUUAGGUGUCCGCGGCUCAAGCUCUGGUUGUCGCUGUUUGGUUUGUAGUCCGGGUGUGGGCCCCACCAGGGAACCGUAUCUCCCAGGCCAGAAUUGAAGCCCAACCCAAAUUCAAUGACCACGUGCUAUACAAGACUGGUGCCUUCUAGAUGAAGCAAAGGGGAAUCAUUUCCUGCCUCCCAUGGCUUCCAGAGGGACUUGGUUUUUGACCUUACAUCUUUAAAGCUAGCUUUCCUGUUUCCCUUACCUGUAGGCUGAGAUGAGCUAACCUUGAGUCUGCCUGAGGGCCUAGCAAAAGGCGCUAUCGGAGGUCCUGAUCAUGCCUCGCCAAUGAGGGGCCACCAAGCGAUAUCAAUGGAUUCGGUUGCCGGCUGGUGCUAGACGGAGGGUAUACAAGGCUCUCCCCAUUGCUGAAUAGAUGAGUCUGCUAUUUGCUUUUUA